GACUCGUCCAGGCACUCGUCCACGUCUGCGGGGAGGAAAGGCGCGAGUGGAGGGAACCGGCCCGAAGGCGGGUGGUUGUGCGUGUCUCCCGGCCGCUGUCCCACGGCCACUGGGACCGUCUGCGCUCACCCACGCACUCCAAUCUCCGCCCCGAACAAGAUGCACUCGUCGAUGUCUGCGGAGUGACAAGCCGUGGGCGCCCCGUGGCCUUUACCUGCGGGGCGGCUCAGGCCCGCAGCCAGGGAAGUGUGGGCGGGGCUUACCGCGGGAGCGGAGCAAACUCAGUGGGAGAAGGCUUUUCCGGGCGCUGACCCCUUUCCGUCUGGGCAGAGACUGUGGAACUCAGCUGCGGGGAGAGAGCGGCCGUGGGGAAGAAAGGAGGCAGGACUGAGCGCGUGCGCACUAGCCGUUGGGCUCAGGUCGGGAGCUCUCCGCUUCAUCUCCCACCGACCCCGGGAGGGGCCCUUUCCCCAGUACAUUUCCAAAAUGAAGAAACUGAGGGGCGCCUGCGUGGCUCAGUCCUUAAGCGUCUGCCUUCGGCUCAGGUCAUGAUCCCGGGGUCCUGGGAUCGAGCCCCGCAUCGGGCUCCCUGCUCGGC